UAGUGGCGCACGGGUGCGUAACGCGUAACCAACCUACCCACGUCUGGGGGAUAGCCCGCCGAAAGGCGGAUUAAUACCGCAUAACACUGUAGUUCGGCAUCGGACCGCGGUUAAAGAUUUAUUGGACGUGGAUGGGGUUGCGUGCCAUUAGCUAGUUGGGGGGGUAACGGCCCACCAAGGCGACGAUGGCUAGGGGAGCUGAGAGGAUGGCCAGCCACAUUGGGACUGAGAGACGGCCCAG
rnacentral:rRNA from 1 species